UAUGUUUAUUCAGCUUUCAGAAAAUGAAUACUUUGUUUUUGUUAUACUAUAAAGCAGAGGAGGAGUGACUACUAUCCCACAGUGCAUUGCGAAAGCAAGUAUAUUGUCGAAUUUUUUGGCACGUUGAUCAUUGUGUUCAAGUCACUGAAGCGUUUAGACCAAGAGAUUUCUGUCAAAAUAUUCUUCAGAAUAGAAGACUGUUUCAAAUUUCUGCUCCUUUUUGCUCAAAAAGAAGAGUUUUUAAAGCAUAGAUGCCUCUUAUUGAGCAUCAACUUUCUUCGUAAGGCUUUUUGCCUGGGCUAUUGUUUCAGUCUAACUUGAACAUGGCGCUGCCCAAAGUAACACUAUAAUUAUAAAGUCACGCUAAACAAAGAUUUAUUUCAAGAGAGUUCUAGAACCAAGCAUCACAUAGAAUUAGAGAAUUAUGUUUUUUAUUUAGCAAAAUUAUAGGCCAUUCAAAUAAUAAACGUUCAGCUUUGCUGUGUUUCUAACAGCCUAACAUUUUCUGAUUGUAACUGGAUGUCCGCCACUAAUGGUCAAAGCCCGACUGAGGCAGUCAAUGAGAAAUUUGAUUCAAGUUGUGUUUGUUCGACUUGGGUCAUUCUGAAAAACAAAAUGAAAGUCUAUGUUAGAAACAGAGGCUUAAACAACCACAUGACCAGUGAUAUUGAUUCAUUACUUAAAAUUGGAAUAGUUUCGAUGGCGAGCGAUCUGUAGUCAUCAGCAUGAAGCAAAUGCUUCGUGACAACUAUCUUCAGCUGGUAAAUGUGAAAAUAGUCAAAUAUAAUGCAACAUUUCUUGUUGAAAACCUGGGUCAAACUAAGUUCACUUUAAAGCUACAAUGACAUAACACAUAACAUGAGAUUGACCCUCAAAUUAUUAAGUUAUACAUAGAGAAAGAUACACCAAACUAUCAAAAAUAAAAAAUCUCCCGAAUGACAAUAACAUUGAAGAAAAUGUAAUAUUAUACACUCGUCUAUUCAAGUCCAAAAUUACACCAAUGAUAAAUUAUUAUCUCCAGAACUUACUUAGUAAUGCAGCAAAGUAGAAACAUCCCUCGUUACUAGAAUAAAAGCUAUUUUCGUGUUGCCAUUCAGUGAAGGCAGCAACUAGCCGCCAUAUUGAUAAUAUCCAAUCGCAAAGCACUAUGGGAUAGUAGUCACUCCUCCUCUGACUAUAAAGUAAGUUAUUUAAGUUCAUGUGCGCAGUGGUCAUCAACGUAUCCUAAUACCUUAAGUGCUCUUGAAAUGCCCUUGAAAAUAGCAAAGCUGCUGGAUACUCCUUGAAUAGUCCUUGAAAUUGCUACAGUUCCUUGUUUAUUAUGAUUAUCUUAAACCUAAUUUUUGUUGACAAUUGAAGGGGUGAAAAUGAAAAUGGCUUUGAUGCCUCAAGUGAAUUGCAUUAACAGUCUGCUGUGUGUUCAAGCAGAAACUUUAAUUCCACUUUGUCACUGUGAGGCUAAUUUAAUUGCAGCUUUUUUUUUACAAGAGCAUGGUAUUUUUUGGCACAAAUAUAUAUUUUUGGCUUUGCGGGAAGCUACGCAUCCUUUAAAUGCGUGUGCUCAAGCAGAAAUUUUAGUAUAAUAUGGAAUAAAAACCAUUGCAGUAUUAUGAAACCAUUGUGUGCUCAAGCAGAAAAUAAUAUAAUAUGGGUACCGUUGAUUCCAUGGAUACCCCCCUCUUGAUCUGCCACUUCAUUGACAGUCUCAGUUUUCAUAAGUAUUUGGUUUCAAUCUUACAUUUUCAUCCUUCUGUUUUCUUUUUUUCUUCGUGCUGAUAACCUCUUGUCUGAUGAGUACUAAAUCUAUUCUAUCUUAUAAUGCGUCGAGCUGAAAUAAGUCGCUGGCGGACUUGUAACUCGUCCGAAAUAUGAGGAAAAAGCCUUGGAUGCCAGAAAAACUUUCCCGUUUUCCUUGAUCUUCCAUUCUCAAACUUAAAAUAUUGUUUUCUUAAAAAGGAGAAAAGCUUGAAAAACGAACAUUAAAUCCAUAUUUUCGUCUAAAUCUUUUUUGACAAAAACAGAAUGUCGAUAGGUCGUAAAAGCAAGUUUACCUGUAAUGUGAGGUUUGUUUUGGCGUGUGGGAUUGUAAAGGCGGAAACAAACCUUGACAGUGACCACCUAUCAUGAUUGUAAAGCACCUUUGAUUAUCCAUAUAUAACUGAACUGUGCAGUAUAAAUCAUAAAUCAUCUUAUUUAUUGCUGGAAAGAGUGAAGCAGGCGCUAAUGUCAAAAAAAAAUCGACAAAGUGUCCUAUCGAUUUUCGAAGAUCUUUUUCUUAAACUGUCUACGUGCACAAGAAGACGACAAACAAGCAGGCCAUCAGCUUUAAGCAGGUAAGUUCUAAUGGCCCACCUGUCAUUCAGUGAUUGGAUAAGAAAACAAUUUCAGUCCUUCAUGAGUAAAAUGCUUAAUCUGGCUAGCUCCAGACAAUUCUAAGAAACACAGCAAGUCUCAAUGUUUACUGAUUCUCUUCAUUUAACAUUUUCCUUUAAAAUCGACCAGGAAUUUCAAGCUUGGGCUGCCUGUGUUUUCACAAUACGCAAGACAACAUGCAGACUGAUUUCAUCGUAAGAUUUUGAUUGAUCACAAGAAAACAAAGUUAAAGAAAGAACACCCACUUAUUUAGCUACAGAUACCAAUGUGUUGCCACUGUUCCUCGUCUGGUAACGAAAGAAUGCAAUGAGGAAAAGAGACCUCAGGGUGCACAACGAUGCUACAAGGAAUAAUCCGGAGAAGAAAACCAAGACAUCACAAAAAAUGGCUCUUUUUAAGGCCACAUUAUGAAAUCAUUUUAUUCGCAAGCACAACAUCACGAAUGAUACACAAAACGAUUCAGAAAAUGAUGACUCUGGUGUGUUUGAGUGCUCUAGCAUUAGUGAAGCUGAUCUGACGAACGAGGAGGGACAAGAAAUUUAAGGUCGGGCAGACAAUGGACAAUUCGACGCACAGCGAGAAGCCGAAGAAAUGAAAAGGGCAAAUGCUCUUUCCCUGCUGGAACUUAAAGAAAAGGGUCAAGUGCCUCAGACAAUUAUAGAUAAGUUUGUCCAAUCUUCCACAGAAAUCGCAAGAAACAGCAUUGCAAUGUUGAAAUCUGGCUUGACUCUGCUGGAAUAGAUUUCGGUGCCGUUCCCGGACUUAAAGAACUGUUUGAUGAAUCAAAUUUGGCAAUGAAUCCAUUUCCUGAUAUCGAGAAGGAACCACUGCAGUAUAGAUAUUACAAGGAACAUUUAAAUCUUGUUGAGCAAAAAAUAAUUCUUGGAAGAUAUCACACCAAAGUAAGACGAGGCCAUAGACUUAAAAACAUCCAAAAAACCGAUGAUGCCCUCUAUAUUCCAUUACUUGAGUGUCUGGAGCAACUUUUAAAUGAUGACUCUAUAGUGGAAGAGGGAAAGAAAUAAUGUUUUUAAAACUCACCCCUUGUUUGGAGCUGAUCCAUAUGCACUACAAAUUCUUCUUUAUUUUGAUGAGCUGGAAGUAUGCAAUCCCCUUGGUUCAAGAGCAACAACACAUAAAAUAGGUGCAUUCUAUUAUACAAUAUGAAAUAUAAAACCAGAAAACCGUUCACAUUUACAUACUAUUCAGCUUCUUGGACUGCUUCCCAAUAAAGACAUAAAAAAUUAUGGAAUAGAUCCUAUCUUGGAGGCCCUCAUGAGUGAUCUACAUCUUCUAGAAAGGGAUGAUGGCUAUGAAUUCACUAUUGUAGGAGAGCCAAGAUCAUUCCGGGGAACUAUUGCUCGGGGGACAAUCUUGGGUCCCAACUUUUAGGUGGCUUCAAGCAGGGCUCCAAGUCACAUAGAAAAUGCAGAGUUUGUAUGGGUGAUCCUGAAGCAAUCAAAACAUAUGUAUGCAAUAUCUAAAAUAGUUAAUUGAAAUAUAAUUCUCAUAAUUUUUCUUUUCAGAAUAUGUAAAGCAUUUAAUGUUUUUUAUUGCUUACUUACUUUUUUUCCAAUUCCAUGAGGGUAACUUUCUUCUAAGAACUACAGAAAGCCAUAGUCAACAGUUCCAAAGACUUGAAUUGGGUGAACAUUUCAAAAAGACCUAUGGCAUUAAUCAGAACUCAGUUUUAAACAACUCCUUUCUAUUUUACUCAAAAAAUAGAGUCAAAACUACUCUGGUUGUUUCCGUCAAACAUUAAUUGAAAACAGUUUGGUCUAUUUUCUUUAUCUAAAAAUUUAAAUUUACUCCAGCAUUUAUAAUGUACUCUUAUGUGCUAAUGUUGAACUGUUCAACAUUUCCAUAGAGUUACUUUUACUCGGAGGAAUACAAAUUACUCUCGGCAUGGUUAAAAUAACUCUCUUUUUAGAGUAAUUUUAACUCUCAAGUUACUCCACUAUGUAGAGUAACUUUAACUCUUUUGGUAGAGUUAUAUCAACUCCUGAAAAAUAACAGUGUAAAGUAGAGUCAACGUUGCCUAAAGUAUACGAGGAGUAAGCACUUUUUUACUUUUGAGUAGUCUUAUUCAUAGUAUUAUCAAUAUUUAUUUAAAACCAAACCCUAAAAAUACAACUAAUUCCUUUAAUGUUUGUUUACAUUGGAAGUAGUUCAUUGAAUGUAUGAGAAAUUGUUUAUCCUAUUUAUCAUUGACAUUGAAUCAGUAAACGAUUUAAAUCAGUAAAAAGCACUAAAAAGGUGAACAGCAAUUUAACAAUAAUAAAACAAUGGCCGAUUCAAUUGCUUUGCUUUCAGUAAAAAGCACUAAAAGGUGAACAGUAACUUGAUAAUAAUAAAACAUUGGUCGAUUCAA
rnacentral:lncRNA from 1 species